rnacentral:rRNA from 1 species
UACGUAGGGUGCGAGCGUUGUCCGGAAUUAUUGGGCGUAAAGAGCUUGUAGGCGGUUUGUCGCGUCUGCUGUGAAAAUCCGGGGCUCAACCCCGGACUUGCAGUGGAUACGGGCGGGCUAGAGUUCGGUAGGGGAGACUGGAAUUCCUGGUGUAGCGGUGAAAUGCGCAGAUAUCAGGAGGAACACCGGUGGCGAAGGCGGGUCUCUGGGCCGAUACUGACGCUGAGGAGCGAAAGCGUGGGGAGCGAACAGG